rnacentral:misc_RNA from 1 species
CUGCAAGCAAGCUGUGACAAAAUGACUUACUCUAGAAAUCGCAGAUAUUCAGAAUACUCAUCUACCAGAUGCUGUAGGUCCAGAUCUAGGCAUUCAAGGGACAACUACCACCAUUAUAGACAUAGAAGCCCAAGUCCCAGAUGGUCUGCCAGGCGCUCAAGGUCCAGAUCUAGGUGUUCCAGGGACAUCUGCCACUAUUCUAGACAUAGGAGCCCUAGUUCUAGGUGGUCAAGAUCAAGAAAUAUUUCUAGAUCUAGACUAAGUGACAGGGAGACUUACACUCCUAUGCCUUGUAGUAGUGGGAGAGAGUCCCUGGACACCCAGAGAGUCCGAGCAUCGACUCCAUUGAGAGAGUCAGUAUCGCUUCUUCCAGAUAUUGAAGACCCGCUUAUUCAGCAGCUCAGUGAGCCAGUGUUUCCUGAGUUAUACGGUACCUUGGAGCAGAAAGCGAGGUAGGGAGGACCAAGCAGAUGUUUCCCCACCGGCUAAAAAGCAGAAGUAUGUUCCCACACAGGCCAGUCCAAAUAUACACAUCAAUAGAAAUCAUCCAAACUUUCGAAGGAUGGUUGCCUGUGGUCAGUUGAAGAUCCCUAUUGUUUUGGGGUCUGGUAGGCCAAAGGUCAAGGUCACAGUGAUCUAGAGACUGAAAACAGUUCAAUAACUAAAGAAAAGAACAAUUGCCUGCGACAGCAAGUUGAGGUAGCUAGCCAUCAAUGCAGUAUAAGCCUGGUUGGAUGUAUCAGCCUGAAAUGCAGCAGUUACCUGGUUGGAUGGAUCAGCCGUCAACACAAUGGUAGCUGGCGGGAAAGAUUAUCCAUCAAUACAGUGUUAGUCCAGUUAGAUGAAUCAACAAUUAAAGCAGUGGUAGUUUGCAGGAGAUAGAUCAGUCAUCAAAACAGUGGUAACUUGGUGUUAUAGAUUAAAUCAGCACGUACAGCAAAGGCCUGGUUCGAUCGAUUGUCCAUCAACACAGUGGUAACUAGGCAGGAUAGAUAAACUGUCGACACAGCAGGAACCUGGUUGUUGGAUAAGCAGCUAACACAAUAGUGUAGCUUAGCUGGAUAGAUUAGCCAUCAACGCAGUAGCAUCCUGGUUGGAAGGAUCAGUUAUCAACCAAAUCAGCUUGGUCGGAUAGAUUAGCCAUCAACGCAGUAGUAUCCUGGAUGAGAGGAUCACCCGUCAACCAAGUCAGCUUGGUCGGAUAGAUUAGCCAUCAACGCAGUAGUAUCCUGGAUGGGAGGAUCACCCGUCAACCAAGUCAGCUUGGUCGGAUAGAUUAGCCAUCAAUGCAGUAGUAUCCUGGAUGGGAGGAUCACCUGUCAGCUUGGUCGGAUAGAUUAGCCAUCAACGCAGUAGUAUCCUGGAUGGGAGGAUCAGCCAUCAACCAAGUCAGCUUGGUCAGAUAGAUUAGCCAUCAACACAGUAGUAUCCUGGAUGGGAGGAUCACCCGUCAACCAAGUCAACUUGGUCGGAUAGAUUAGCCAUCAACACAGUUGUAUCCUGGAUGGGAGGAUCAGCCGUCAACCAAGUCAGCUUGGUCGGAUAGAUUAGCCAUCAACACAGUAGUAUCCUGGAUGGGAGGAUCACCCGUCAACCAAGUCAGCUUGGUCGGAUAGAUUAGCCAACAACACAAUAGUAUCCUGAGAAAGAUUAGCAGGGAGCCUAGUUAGCUGGAUCAGCCAUCAACACAUUGGUAGAUUGGAAGGAUAAAUAACAAGUAGUUUCCUAGAUAGAUGAAUAAGGAGGUAACUUGGCUUUUUUAUGACCACCUUGGAAGAAGAGAAGGUAUUUUGUUUUGCUGUAAUGUGUGCCAGUCAGUCUGUCCAUCCAUAAACCAUUUGGUUUUGGAUCAGUAUUUUAUAACUUUUAGCAAACCUGACCAGGAAGUGUUCAUUGUGAACUUUUAGGAUUGUUGUAUGUAUGUCCGUCAUCCACAAUUUCUUUCAGGGAAAUUUCCUACAUCGAUCACUUUCAACCAAAGUCGCAGGAAUGAUCCUAGGGAGGUCCCCUUUCAGUUUCCUUCAAGUCUAGGUCAUCUUUGCUGAAUUAUUGUUGCCACUGCAAUCAAAAGGGAAAAAGUUUAAAAAUCUCAGAAACUGCUGAUCCAAUUUUGAAAUAAUUUCAAAGCUAUUUGUCUGUUCUUUCAUCUUGAUUUUGGUGUCCUGAUUCCCCUUACAGAAGAAAAAGGCCUGCUGCGUACUCUUGCUGUGUACAUACAGCGUAUAUGAUGCGUACAUGAUGUGUACUGAAAUCAAGGGCUUUAAAUAGUACGCAGGA